AGACCAUGAUGUGGGCAACGCCUAAGUAAGUCCUUGUAUCUAUCUCAGGCUUCACAUAACGACUCACUAUCAAAAUGUAUGAAUGAAGUGAUAUCGUUCCUUGUUU
rnacentral:snoRNA from 1 species